rnacentral:rRNA from 1 species
UACGAAGGGGGCUAGCGUUGCUCGGAAUCACUGGGCGUAAAGGGUGCGUAGGUGGAUUUUUAAGUCAGGGGUGAAAUCCCAGGGCUCAACCCUGGAACUGCCUUUGAUACUGUCGAUCUGGAGUAUGGAAGAGGUGAGUGGAAUUCCGAGUGUAGAGGUGAAAUUCGUAGAUAUUCGGAGGAACACCAGUGGCGAAGGCGACUCACUGGACAUGUAUUGACGCUGAGGUACGAAAGCGUGGGGAGCAAACAGG